UAAUAAAGUUGUGUUUGUAUUGUAGAGUCGUAGAGAGAGGGAGAUUCUGCAGCAGGUGAUGGUUCAGGAUGAAGAGACUCUAGAACUCAGAGAAACAUUCUCCUCCCUGCAACAGGAAGUGGAGGCCAAGACCAAGAAACUCAAGAAGCUCUAUGCUAAGCUGCAGUGUGUGAAGGUGAAAUCCAGGACGUUAAUGAUGAGCACGUCAGGAGUCGACAGGAGCUGGAGCAAACGCAGAACGAACUCACCAGAGAACUCAAGUUCAAGUAUCUGAUCAUAGAGAACUUCAUUCCUCCGGAGGAGAAGAAUAAGAUCAUGAACGGUUGACCUUUGACCCUGAGGAGGACCAGUGGAGUUUCCAACUCUCCCCCCUCCGAGAGGUCUGAGUGUGUGUGUCUGUGGAUCUGGGUGUGUCUGUCUGACUCACGAUUGAACAGCCAUGGUCAGAUGAAGAAGAGGCUAGCCUCGGCAGUCGGAUACAAACGGCAAUCAGCCAGUACGCACGGGUUGCCUUAGCGAUGGAGCCCACUCCAGAUACCGGGCUGAGAACAUCAUGUUCUUGGAGCUGGACAUGAGUCCUCCCACCACAGUCUCAUUGGACCACUGGCCCUCAGAGGUGGGGCCUAACUGUAGCUCCUCUCCCACAGACAGCGCCCUCUACAGGGAGAGAGCCACACGCGUCCGCAAGUCACGCUCCUGGUGUCAGGCCCCACGAGCCAUCACUUCCUCCUCCUCCACGGUUUCCCUGGCAACCCAUUCUACAGCCACACCCAGUACUGCCCAGUGAAUACCGGCCUCUCCCUACCUACCUCUCUACUCUCUCUCUCUCCUCUCCUCUCUCUGGUCUACUCUUUACAGCAGCCUGCUAACUCCUCCCCUUUCCUCUCUUGACCAAUCAGCUCUCAGGAGUGGGAAACCACUCAACAGUCUUUGCCUCUGCUGCCUCAUGAUUGGUUGAUCACUGCCGUGGGAGGAGCCAAAGCCUGAUUGACAGACGCAGAUCUACUGCCUCAAGGACUCCACUACCCAGACUACCCUGGGGGAGUGAAGGAGAAACUAUCCAUCAUACUCUCCUCCUUCCUGUGUGUGUGUGUGUGUGGCAGCCCAGGGUAGUCAGAGGUGAAACUCACAAUAAAUGAAGACAGCUGGA